rnacentral:lncRNA from 1 species
CCCUGAAUGAAAAUUCUCUUCAUAUUUGUGCAUUCUUUCUUUUGGUAUGAGCUUAUAACGACGGGAGAUAACUCUCCCAUACAAACGAAAUUAAGCGUGUUAGGAACAGGAGGAGAACCUCAUCCUAACAUGAGCAAAGCCGAAGGCCCGAUUUUUUAAAGAUCGGAUGGGGAGAGAGGCCCUUACAACGACCCUUAUGUGCCC